AUGGAUAUGGAACAUGAAAUACCAAAAAAAUUAGGUGUACUUGCUACUCAUGGAGAUGGGGAACCUCCUAAAACCCUCGAUGCUGGUUAUGUGAAAAAUAUUAUGUACUACUUUAAUAAUCCUGAGAAAACCCCAUUCAAUUAUGUAAUGGGAGUAACGUUGGAUCAACCUGAAUACUUUAGGGAUUACCACUUGACACAAAAAGGGAAACUAUUAUGGGAUCAAAUUCAUAUAUUGAAUUGGUAUGCUAGGCAACUAUGCUUGAGAUAUGAUUAUACUUGUUGCUCUAAGGUGAAGGCUCCACACCUUCCCUUUUCAUGUGAAUUUAAUGAUAAUGAAACCUUAGCUUCUUAUGCUAAUGGUAUAUAUGAUUACUAUGAUGUGGAACAAAUAGAAGAAUUUGUUGCUUUUAAGGGUGCUUAUGAAAUUGAAUCUUUGUUUGAAAAGCAUGAAGCUUCUGAUGAUGGUGUUUAUAGGCCUGAAAAUAUAGCUAUCUUAAAAUAUUGA
rnacentral:rRNA from 1 species